AGAAACUCAAACCAGUUCUCUGCCUACUGCAUGUGGAUGCAGAUGUAAAAGUCUCAGCUCCUUCUCCAGCACCAUGUCUGCCUGCAUGCUGCCAUGCUUUCUGCCACGACGAUAACGGACUGGUCCCCAGGAAAGGCCUGCUGGUGGGGGCUGCCUGUCCUCAGCCACCCUGAUUAGAGGCAGAAGAGGCUUGGCCAGAAAAGGCUACGGAAGAAGUGAACUGUGACAAAAAUCUAUUUAAGAACAGAAAGUAAAUGACACCGCUGGCUGGUAUACGGAGAUGGUGAUGGGAAGUCUACCACAGCUUCUUGCCAGGAGGAUCUGGUCAGGUGGCCAGUGGCAAAUCUCACUCAGAGCUCACACACAGCUUCAGUCUCCCAGGGGAGAGGAACGCAGAAACAUGACCAUGCCCUUUUGUCUGUUCUGCUGUGAGUGUCCAGCUGCUGAGGACUCCUUUCCCUUCUGCUGAGCACAGCUCAAGGGCCCAGACCCCCAAGUCCAGCUGGAAUUGUGGCUUCUGAGAGCAAAGAAGGUCCAGGCACCCAAACAUUAGAGGACUUGGGGGUCCUUCUGACCCUCAGUGGCACUGGACUCCACCUGCAGGUCAAGCUUAUGAUGUCAAUAGUGGGCUUAGCUAUCAGAAGUCCUGGCUGCAGCUCCUGUGAUCUGUGUGGCUUCUCCCUGAGCUCCUUGUCCUCAGAGGGCUCCAUCCUUUGGGUGCCCUUUAGUCUAGCUCCUCAGUCCUGAAACUAUUUAGGAAGGCCCUCCUGACUUCUAAGCCAGGCCCAGGAGAGAAUGAGUGAUAUGCAGAGGGCAAGCCCUCAUCCAGGAAAGGUGACUCUGGACUCCUGACUGGAGCUGUAACCAGUCACAGGUGCUGCCGAGGCUCCACCUGGUCUCUGUCACUGUGCAAGGGGGUGGCUUUAGGACCUGCUUCUUCCCAGGUGGAACUGUCUUCCACACCUGAUAGCUAAGGACAACACCCGCAGUGGCACUGGCUCCCUCCUGCAGGUCAAGCACGUGAUGUCAAUAGUGGGCUUAGCUAUCAGAAGCCCUGCAGCAGUUCUUGCAAGUGACCCGAAGCAACCUGGGACUGCCUCUCCUGGCACAAGACAGGCACUUAUAAAUGUGCUGAAUAAUGAAUUCUGGAGCCUCCCUGGGGAUGGUGCUGAGCUCAGGGGACACAUCCAGGUGAGGCAUAGACCAUCUGUGUUCAAGGAUUAGUGUCACAAAGAUACCAACUUCACUGUCACAACCUAGUCUUGGAAGCCCCUUCGCCUGGGGACCCUGACUUGGGCAACCACAUGGCUUCUUCUGUUCACACCACCUUUUUCCAGACAAGCCAGAGGAACCCCUUCCCCAUGCCAGAACCCCCCUAUUAAGGCCUGUAGAUGUGUCUCUAUUGGUUCUGCUUUGUGGCUCUCUUCUGAGCUUCUGACAGCCUCUCUGAUGACACCAGGACACCUUGUGUCCAAAGACUGGGGUGACAACCUGAAUGAGUUGGGCUACUUCCCAGGAAGGGGAUCCAGGCAAAGCUUCUUGAUGUUGUAAGUGACCCAUCAGACCUCCCCCGGUUUGUCUCUGUCUUCACAGCACUGCAAAGGUCAGGCCAUACCUAGGGCUGCUGCACCUUCCCAGGCCUCCCUUUGACUCUGAAAGAGACUGGGUCACUCUAGAGCAAGCACUUGGCCAAGCCCUGUGGAGAUGCUAGGGAGCUGUCAGCUGAGGGCGAUUGGGUUUGCGUUAUGGCUGGUAGGGUUGAGGCCAUGAGCCUCACUCACAAUGAGACAGCUCAGCAGGUAAGAACCAGGUCCAUAACCUCAGGUACUCAUCAUGGUGGCUGGAAAACGCAUCCCAAACUCUACAGUGCAUUUCCUCUAUGGAAGCUGCUUGCCCUGCUUGUGGACUUCAAGUAGGAUGAUGCAGGAAUCAUGCAGGAAUGAUACCAUGCAAAGCAGAUCAUAAGAAGGUAUAUGUUUCCUCAAAGGGUUAAACAAGGUUCCAAUGCGAGCAACACGCUCUCAGGUGUAUACUCAGGGGACAGAAGGCAGGGACUUAUACGCCUGUGUACCCCAUUAGAAAAGCACUAUCCACAACAGCCAAGAUGGACACUUGGCAUCCCCAAGUGUCCAUCGAGAAACGGAUGUCCAAACAAAAUGUGGAACUGCCACGCAAUGAAUAUUAUUCAGCCUUCAAAAGGAAGAAUUGCUAGCUGGGCAGCAUUUCUACCUCUGAGUUCAAGGACAGUCUGGUCUAAGAGGGAAUUCCAGGAGUGUGGGGUCUACACAGAGAAACCCUGUCUCAGAGAUGAAGAAGGAGGAGGAGAAGAAA